rnacentral:rRNA from 1 species
ACUCCUACGGGAGGCAGCAGUGGGGAAUAUUGCACAAUGGGCGCAAGCCUGAUGCAGCCAUGCCGCGUGUAUGAAGAAGGCCUUCGGGUUGUAAAGUACUUUCAGUCAGUGAGGAGGUGGUAUGUUAAUAGCGAUAUUCAUUUGACGUUAGCAUGACAGAAGAAGCAACCGGCUAACUCCGUGCCAGCAGCCGCGGUAAUACGGAGGGUGCGAGCGUUAAUCGGAAUUACUGGGCGUAAAGCGCAUGCAGGUGGUUUGUUAAGUCAGAUGUGAAAGCCCGGGGCUCAACCUCGGAAUGCA